rnacentral:rRNA from 1 species
UACGAAGGUCCCAAGCGUUAUCCGGAUUUAUUGGGUUUAAAGGGUGCGUAGGCGGCUUUUUAAGUCAGUGGUGAAAGCUCCAUGCUUAACAUGGAAAUUGCCAUUGAUACUGAAGAGCUUGAGUACAUUUGAAGUGGGCGGAAUGUGUCGUGUAGCGGUGAAAUGCUUAGAUAUGACACAGAACACCGAUUGCGUAGGCAGCUCACUAAACUGUAACUGACGCUGAGGCACGAAAGCAUGGGGAUCAAACAGG